rfam:Felis catus isolate Cinnamon breed Abyssinian chromosome B2, whole genome shotgun sequence.
GCCUGGGUGGCUUAGUUGGUUAAGUGUCAGACUUCAGCUCAGGUCAUGAUCUCCUGGUUUGUGGGUUCAAGCCCUGCAUCGGGCU